CGCGUAGGCGGGAUGGCAAGUCGGUCGUGAAAUCCUUCGGCUCAACCGAAGAACGUCGAUCGAUACUGCUGUUCUUGAGGGUUGCAGAGGAGACUGGAAUUCCCGGUGUAGCGGUGAAAUGUGUAGAGAUCGGGAGGAACACCGGUGGCGAAGGCGGGUCUCUGGGCAACUCCUGACGCUGAGGCGCGAAAGCGUGGGGAGCAAACGGGAUUAGAUACCCCGGUAGUCCACGCUGUAAACGAUGACGACUAGGUGUGGGGGGGUUCAGUCCCUUCCGUGCCGCAGCUAACGCAUUAAGUCGUCCGCCUGGGGAGUACGGCCGCAAGGUUGA
rnacentral:rRNA from 1 species